AACGAACGCUGGCGGCAUGCCUAACACAUGCAAGUCGAACGAGACCUUCGGGUCUAGUGGCGCACGGGUGCGUAACGCGUGGGAACCUGCCCUUAGGUUCGGAAUAACUCCCCGAAAGGGGUGCUAAUACCGGAUAAUGUCUUCGGACCAAAGAUUUAUCGCCUUUGGAUGGGCCCGCGUUGGAUUAGCUAGUUGGUAGGGUAAAAGCCUACCAAGGCGACGAUCCAUAGCUGGUCUGAGAGGAUGAUCAGCCACACUGGGACUGAGACACGGCCCAGACUCCUACGGAAGGAGGCAGUGGGGAAAAUGGGACAAUGGGCGAAAGCCGGAUCCAGAAAGGCCGGGGGAGUGAGGAAGGCCUUAGGGUGGUAAAGCUCUUUUACCCGGGAUGAUAAGGACGGAACCGGAGGAAAAAGCGCCGGCGAACUCGGU
rnacentral:rRNA from 1 species